rnacentral:misc_RNA from 1 species
AAAGUCGUAACAAGGUUUCCGUAGGUGAACCUGCGGAAGGAUCAUUAAACAUGUGUCUAACACAUAUCAACCAAACGUGAACUUUUGUAUUAACCAUGACUAGUAUGGUAAAUCUAAGUGAAAACCGCUGUGGGCUAGGUAGGAGCUUAGAUUUAUUCGCCCAGCUAGUUAAUGGUCCCCCCCUACUCACCCACUAUUAUUGAGUAGAUGAUGGGUACAUUCCUGCGGGAGUGUAUCUGGUUUAACCCUUUUUUAACCCCUUAACCUGUUUAUUCAGGUCUUUUUUAAUUUGUCUAAUUGAGUAGUCCUCUGUGUAGAUGUGCAAACAUUUAUGCAUGUUACUCUUGUUUACGAAAUUUGUACAACUCUUAGCAAUGGAUAUCUUGGCUUCC